rnacentral:snRNA from 1 species
UUACCCUAUAUAUAUAAAGAAAUAAUGCCUCUGUUCUUAUUAGCUUGAUAUCUAAUAAUAGACUCCCCAUUGGAGGGUGAUGAAUAUCGAACAGAUUUUUGGAUAAUGGCGAGGUGUCUGGGGCUUGUUCUGGCCUUGCCACGAGUCGGUCUUGCAUUGCAUUACACGUCACACAUUGCAUUACUU